CCUACGGGGGGCUGCAGUGAGGAAUAUUGGUCAAUGGGCGAGAGCCUGAACCAGCCAAGUCGCGUGAAGGAUGACGGCCCUACGGGUUGUAAACUUCUUUUGUCAGGGAGCAAGUGAGGCCACGUGUGGUCUUAGCGAGAGGACCUGAAGAAAAAGCAGCGGCGAACUCCGUGCCAGCAGCCGCGGUAAUACGGAGGAUGCGAGCUUUAGCCGGAUUUAUUGGGUUUAAAGGGUGCGUAGGCGGAAUAUCAAGUCAGCGGUAAAAAUGCGGGGCUCAACCCCGUCGUGCCGUUUAAACUGCUGUUCUUGAGUGGGCGAGACGUAUGCGGAAUGCGUGGUGUAGCGGUGCAAUGCCUAGCUAUCACGCAGAACUCCGAUUGCGAAGGCAGCAUACCGGCGCCCACCUGACGCUGAAGCACGAAAGCGUGUGUAUCGAACAGGAUUAGCUACCCCUGUAGUC
rnacentral:rRNA from 1 species